CUGAAACACACCUGCCAGCAUCCAUCUCUCUCUCUCUCUCAACUCCUCAACCGUUCUCUCUCUCUCCCAACUUCUUAACCGCCCACGCCUCUCUCCCACAACCCCACUCCUCUCUCUCUCUCUCUCAUGGGCUAUGAAUACCCCAUUCUCUCUCAUAUGCGCUUUUCAGAGGCGAGGUUCAGAGACGGAAGUCAAUUGUUGAUCAUAGGCCUUCAGGAAUUUCAACCAAGUUUAAGGUUUUGACAAUUGAAAGUAAUUCGGAACUCGCACCACUCAAUUCUGCUAGCCACCAGGUAUGAUUUCCUCUCUGCUUCAUCUAUUGUCGUGCCUAAAGCUGUGUUUUGUUUUCCGUAUAUAGUAAUUGGAUUUGUUUCCUGUUCAUAAAGAAAUGCAACUGGAUUCCAAAAAAAAGAUUUGGUUAGUUUGAUUUGUUUCCCGUGCAAAUAUACAUUAGUUAUAUUUUUCUAUUGUCAAAUGUGAAGAACGGGUAGUGACCAAAAAAUGGCGUAGGACUGAAUGCAUUUAAAGCCCUUCUUUCCCUAUAUUUUAUUCCCUUUACCUGGGAGGGAUGCUCACAACAUUAUUUUUGUAACCAAUAUUUUCGCCUAUUCAAUUAUUAAUAGCAAAAUUGAAGGCAAGGAGAAAUGGCACAACAAAGACAAAUAGCAACCACAAGGGGCAAGGAAAACGAGCAGCCAAGUGGUGCCAAUGAAAAAAAAAAAACAAAGUAUGAUGCUUAUAACUUCUAUUUUCUUUCCCUUCCACAUUUUAAAGAUAAUUUGUUAUGUACGCAUGCAAGUUGGUGUUGUUCUUUUUUUUUAAAAAAAAUCUUCAAAUGAAAGAUGCGAUUUAUGGAGAGGCUGAACAGGUACGUGAUUAUGAACACCUUUUUUUUACCCCUACAGAGAUUCUAAAUAAGUUUUUAAACUUACAUGGGUCGUAAAUUGUUAAGCUUGAGAACUCUUAGGUUCAAAUAAUUGUAUAUAUAACAUUUUAUGCAGGUUUUCAUGAGGCCUUCUCCAUGUUUGCGUCGUAAUAAUCACUUAGAUAUGUUGAAUGCAGUAUAUGAUUUUGAAUCUAAACGUCAGAGGGAGGGCUUACUAGUUGAAAAUUUUGUUCGACGAAAAAUAGAGACAUGUCGAGCCUUGCAAAAUGUUGGAGAAAAUAUAAGUGAACAAUACCUUAUAGGAAAAAUAGUAGACCUUCUAUCACCAAGCUGGAUGCAUGUGAAGCGAACAAUAUUUCAAAGACAUGUUAUAGAAAAUGCUACACAUUUGAUGAAUGCUUUGAUGGAAGACGAGCAUAAUGUCCACUAUUUGUGGAUGGAGUUUGAGCAAGGGCCAAUGAUGCCAAACUCAACUGUGAGAGCGCACAUUCUAAAUAAAGAAAAUCAAUUUCAUAGUCUAAGGAAAAAAGGCUGCAAGCCAAACAUUGAGAAUUUGGUUCGGCUAUAGUUAAUAACCUCCCGCUCACAUGGCCUAAAGCAACAAUCUUCAAAAACUUGAAACUAAAUUUCUUGGAUAUGAGAGCAUUGGGAGCUAUGCUUGAGGAGAUCGAGACUGCUAUCAUAUGUUCGGAAGCUUUGGACGAAGUAGAGCAACAAUUUAUAGAACAGGAGGAGAAGAAGGGAAAAAAAACCUCGGCAAAAGGUAAUAAUAUAUAUUUUUUAAGAAAAAAUUAUUUGUUAUUUGUUUUCUUUUAGUUAUGUUGAUAGAUUAUGAUAAUUUCACCCUUGCAUAAUAAGAAAAGCUAAUUACAAGGCAUGAUAAUUAGGGCAAAACCCCUGUUUAAUGAAGGCAAAACAUCAGUGUACAAUCUUUAAAUCGUUAAACCUGUUCUUACUUUGAAAUGAUGCCUUCUACCUAACGUGCGUAUUUGCUAAUAACAAAUACUAGAGGUUGGGUCACACGCGAUGCAUGUGCAAAUCGGAUUUUCACAACGUUUUUGUAUAAAUGCUUCCCAGUUAUUGUUUGAUCAAAAUUUCACAAAUAUUGUGAAAAUCCGACUUGCACACGCAUCGCAUGUGCCCCGACCUCUAGUGACAUAUAAAUGACUCAUGGUGUUGGUGUGAUAUCCGUUCCACUUUGACGUGCUCGUAGACUUAUAGCAGUUAUGGUCUACGAGAUAGCAAAACCGUCGGGAUUUUGUUCGGGUUUGAUUUUGGUUUUAGUAUUUUGGGUUGAGCUCGGGAUUAGGAAAAAACCGGGUCGAACCAACCCAUUCUCACUGAUUGAUGCAGCAUAGACUUUUCGGCAAAUCUCAUCAACUGGAUCAAAUCUAGCACUUUAGUCCAAACCAAACGGAGUUCUGUGUGUACUUGUAAAUCGAAAAUCAAAUAAAGUUUGUCUCGAUGGUAGAGUGGUCGGCCAUUAAUUAAUUGGUUGCGGGUUUGAAUCCUACUUGGAAAUUAUAUAGAAGCACAUAAUUGGUUGAAGAUACACUAUACAGUUUCGAAUAAAUAAUAUGAAGAAGACUCUGUUUAUUUAACACUUUUUUAAACAAUUAAUUUUAAAAAGUACUAUUAAGUAAACAGAGUCUUAUUUAUAUUUAUUCAAUCCUAGAAGUGCAAUUAACUCAACAUUCACAGCCCACUUCCAUCCACUAAAUGCAGACAAUGAGAAACCUGGUUGUUUGGGCGUGUAUGGAGUUCCAUACAGGUUACUGGCCCAAAUGUAUCGAAGAAGCCCAGCCCAAAAUACCACCUUGUUGCUCCACUAAAUGUAUUAUGGCCAUGAGGCUUGGCUUCCCUGCGUGGGUGCUCCAGAAGCCUCGACCAUCACACCCUAUAUGUGCGGUCUAUAUACAUAAUCGUGAAUUUCACAAAAAUAUUUAAUGACCAUGAAUAUUGGAGCCCCCCAUGGCCAUCCAAUAACUUUCUCUCAUUGAAACCCCAAGGAGUUUUGUUCAAAGUGGGGAUGAGAAAGGCGCUCGUACUUUAUGAGGUCGCAUGUUCGAAUUUCACGGAGGCCAAACAUUUCAAACGUUGGGGCUGCUUGGAAGGUUUGUUCUGUCGUUAAUUUCAGGACCACGAAAUUAAUCGAGGUGCGCACGAGUUGACCUAAACAUCCAGUCAUAAAAAAAAAAACAAAAAAAAAACUCUCUCAUGUAGUUGUCCAAGUCAUUGUCCAUUAAUAAACAACACUCACUCAAGGACAAGGACUUCCCCAUCAUGCCUGCACAUUUUUUCUGCAAAAAUUGACAGAAAUAAGAAGAAUGUAUUUAGCGAUAUAUAAAUUGUAUCUGGAUAACUAUUCAAGUGUUGAUGUUGACCAACAUCUAUUCGGGAUCUGCUUCCUCCAUACACCUUCAAACUAGUAGUAUUAUAUUUUGUGCCCGUCCAGAGCUUGUAACAAUGAUCGAACCGUUCACCUUGCAGUCCCGUGAAAGAAAACAUUUUAUCAAAAAAUCAACUUGUUUUAUCAAAAAAUCAACUUGACAGAUAUAUCAAUAAAAAUAUGAACAAAUCUUCAUAGAAGACAAAUAUAAUCUAGAACUUAAAUCGUCCAUAAUUUAAACAAUAUAUACCUAAUUCAUGUACCUACUAAUAUCCGUCUGUUUUAUGAGAUACUCUACAAGACUUAUAAGAUGAGCAGUUUGAAUCGUUUUUUAAUAGCAAGGGAUAAAGAGUUAAAAGACCCCCAAAAAUGAUAGUUUGGUGCAGUACGGGGAGAUGAGAUGACAAAGGAGAGCUAAUCCCUAUUCAUUUGUCAUUCUUCUUCUUCCAGCCCAACCAAACUGGAUAACAUAGGAACAUAAUAAUAUGUAGUAUUUUAGCAAACCAGUUUUUUGAAAACUGUCAACAGGAGAGAGAUUAAUCAGACCCAUACGACCAGACCUAAACUACAGGGUAGUCUGGGUCCGAUUAAUCAGACCUCAAUAGAGUUCUUUAUCUCAGCAUCAUGAUCAGAAGCAUUCACUUUAUUUCUAAGCACUUCAGUUGUACUCAUUAUGAGAUUAAUGGGAUAUCAAAUAGCUAAGCACUUCAGUUGUACACAUAAUAAGAUUAACGGGAUUUUAGCAAACCACGUGAUCCAGUUAAAUCUGUCUUACAUAGUAAUUUCCAAAAAAAAAUCAUAUAGACCAUCCAAUUUUUAAAAUUCAUGUUGUCAGAUCAUCUAACUUUUGAUAUCUCAUCAAUCUGAUUUUUCUAUAAAUAAUAUUUUGACUACUUUUGUAAAACGAACGGUUCAGAUCAUAAUAGCGAGAUUUUAAAGGGACUCAUUCAGAUGCGCUAUAGCCCUUUCGUGCAUUAGAACACCAUAGGUCCCCUCAACAAAUAGAUUUAUCUUUUCCGUAACAUUCCGUUCCACACCGGAAGCUUCCAUAGGAUAUAUAAGAAACCAUAUAAGUUGUUACUAACUUGAGCAUUUUGAAUCACAUGGAUAGGCUCCAACAAGUUAUUGACCCAGUGGUCUACAUAGGGUGCUAUGCCUGAGGACAUUGCACAUGGUUGGAAGCUAAAGCCUCACUUGGAUUAUUAACACCCGCUGAAUGCUACAUGGUACCUUCUUAGGUAUAUCUUUUAAGGCCAAGUUUUCAUGCCGAAAGAGGGCCCAUGGUCAGCCAGGUCGGAUCGUUACAUUUUCAACUUCAUCUUUCUUUUACGAAGUUGGAAGUUAGAUCCAAGCAAAGUUAAUUAUAAUUCCAAACUAGAUGGAUUUUCUCUAUCUACUUAAUUUUUUUUGGCUUGUGGGUUGCCAGAGAGGCUAGGUGAAUUGAACAAGGCAGGGCUAACAUGUCUUUGUCCAGAGCUUAGCUGUUCCUUACCAAUUCAAUUAAUAUUCCACUCUCAUUUUGAAAAGACUAAAUCUUACAAGCUUAAAAGCAUUGGCUGUGGCUGUCUAGUGGUCCCCUUUAAUGCAUCCAAUCUUCAAUCAUAACUGCUUCUAUAGGGGUGGACCGGGUGGUUUUGCCUUCUUCCAAAACAAGCCAAUUUCUCUAUUUGCUUCCAUCCCAAGAGUUCCAAACUACUCAAUCCUCAUCAGGCAUACAUUAAAAUGACAAGAAGAAUCAUUUGAAUGAGAAUCUCACAAAAUGGCAAAUACAUAUAGAAUUUGCAAACUUCUUCCAAUCAUUCACGGCAACAUGCACACUGAUAACAUGCUACUCGAAUGAAAAUAGAAUUUCCAGCACAGACAGUGGAGUGUGUGAUCUGGAUUCGUACGAUAUCAUAGAUGGUUUGUUGAAAACUUCCCAAAGGAAACAUGGGUAUUCCUAUCAAUCAAGCUAGUUUACUCCAACUGGGAAACAGUCUUCAGGAGGACAAUAUGCUACUAGUAAACAGCUUCAAGGUAUCCAGGAUCUUGAUACCUAAAUCCAAUGCCAAAAAUAGACCACACACUUACACAGUACUGAAGCCCACAAUAGAUCUCCAUUUUCUCUAUUCUAUAUGAUGUCAACCAUUCACAAAGUUGGCAUGUUGUUAUCAUCAUGGGCUAACCCGAAUCAUGGUAUAGAUAAUUGAACUUGUGCAUGUCCCAGGCGAUUCAAAUACAGAUUAAUUCAAGAGAUAUCAGUUACAACUACUUAAUGAUAGCAAGCACCUGCCACUUUGUCAUCCAUUUCAGAAUGAAAUACCAAACUUCAGAGUGUAAAGAAAAUGUGAAAUCAGAAGCAAAUCGAUUAAUGAACAAGCAAAACAGAAGGCGAACAAGCCAACAAAUACAAUAGAUAAACAAACUUCCUCAUAUAGUUCUAAAACGUUUGCAUCAAAACAUCAUACACAUAUAUACAGUACAAUGGAUAUUUUUCAUUCAUGUCACAUGAUUAGCCAUAUAUGAAACGUUAGCUAGCACCGACCUAGGAUUGAUCAGCCACCAAACAUUACCCCGACACUUCAAAGCUUACUCUCCUCUGUCAACAGCAGGCAGAAAGGGUAAUUUUCUUGAUUCGGUAGAUCUGCUAAACAGAGUUAAAACGGCUUUGCCGCCUAUGAUCACUAAAUACAUAAAACCACAUUACUCAUAGUCCAAACACCUGAGAGCCAAUAUAGAGACAGCUUUCCAAUCCAGCUAGUUGCUGAACCAAUUGCCUUCUUCAAUCAUCAUCCCAAAGGCCAGCUAUCUCGCCAGAGAUGAACCAGACCAACCGAAGUAGCACAACAGCAAUUACAAAAACCAACUACAGAGUACUAAAGUUCAAACAAUUGCAAACAUGCAUAUUUGCAGGAGAUAACAACUGUGGCCAAGGUCAAGCUUUCAAGUAUUGUCGGGCGUCAGUAAAAGAUUACGUCUAUUAACAAUUAACAAUUAACGAAAUCACUUAUUUCGUCCAUAACAGUGUAGAAGUUGUCAUUGUUUGGCAACAAGUAGAACCCAAUUGUUGCCCGCUCCAAAUAUAAAAGCUUCACUUCUUGGCCAUACUUCUUUAGCCCUUCAACGUAAGCCAACUGCCAAUCCUGAACAAGAUCGAAACCAGCCACGACCACAAGACUCUUUGGGAAUUUGAUUCCAUCAAGGCUUAUACCUUUUGGACCAAACGGGUUGCACGCUGGAUGGUCCCUAUCCUCCCCUUCAGGAAGAAAUGCCCUCCAAUACCAAUCCCGAUCUUGGAUAGAAACAAAGUAUUUCCCAUCCAAACGCUUCUCCGAUUCAGUUCUCAUCUCCCCACCAAACAUCGGGUUCAGCAUUAUGUUUCCCAAUACUUCAAUCCCCGAUUCUACAGCUCUCAAAGCAACAUUAUGAACAAUAUUACCCCCAGAGCUAUCUCCAGCCAAGUAUAUAUGAACUUUCGAGUCCUUUUGGCUUUGAAGCCAAGGCCUUGAAUUCACCCACUUAAGAGCAGCCCAUCCAUCAUCAUAGGCACAAGGGUAUUGGUUUUCAGGUGCUCUCCGGUAGUUAACUGAUACCACAACAGCCUUACAAAUGCCCACUAGGCGGCGGCAAAGUGUGUCAUAAAUAGCACUAUUCGAAGAGGAGUGAGCAAAGCUUCCGCCGUGGAAGAAAAUAAUAACUGGGACAAUAUCAGAGGUCAAGGGCUUUUCAAGUUCAACCAUAGUAGGAAGACCUUCAGUGUCAGAAAGGCGAUAGACUCGAUUAAGUAGGCCAAUCUCGCGGUCAAUUAUCACAUCGAAUGAGAAAACCCCAUCAACCGGGUUAGCAUUGGCAGGCACUUUCCUGUCAAGAAACUCUGCCAAAUGGCGAUUGAAAGUGCCAUCCGGGCGACGGAGAAGAGUGUAAGCUAGCUUGAAAUUGGAGAUCAGGACCCAUGUGUUUAGUGGAACCACCAUCUAUGCAUAAAAUGGAAGUGAAACUGAGAUAGAAUGCUCAUUCAAUCCUAUAAAUAGUAAUAUCUCCACCAAUAUAGAGUAUCUAAUCACACAAACAAAAAAAGCAAAGGCGAUGCCCAUUAUGAGUCACCAACAUGAUAACAUGUCCAAAAGAGUAAGGAUUCAAAAUCCAAAAUACCCAAAAGAUACGCAGAAAAGUACUUACGGUACACAAGAGAACGAAUUAAAACAAAGCAAUAAGCAGGGAAAUUAGUCAUGGAUAGAAUGGAAAGCAGCAGACCUAUAGCAACCUACUGCACUUGUUAAAAGAAAAUCUCCUAGAGACCUCAACAUAGAAACAAAUUUACGAACAAAUCUUGGCCCAAUCUUCAUAUUGGUGAAAACCCAUCUAGAAAUCACCAAUUCAAGUUAAUACAAAGCAACAAAUCCAAAACCCUAGUCAAAGAUUAAAGAAAAUAAACAAAGGGUCCUUCCCACGGCUGUCAAUAAGCUAACAAAAAGAUAGGGGGG